GACGAACGCUGGCGGCGUGCUUAACACGUGCAAGUCGAACGGAAAGGCCCUGCUUGCAGGGUGCUCGAGUGGCGAACGGGUGAGUAACACGUGGGCGAUCUGCCCCUUACUUUGGGAUAAGCCUGGGAAACUGGGUCUAAUACUGGAUAGGACCAUGCUGUAGGUGGUGUGGUGGAAAGAUUAGUUUCGGUAAGGGAUGAGCUCGCGGCCUAUCAGCUUGUUGGUGGGGUAAUGGCCUACCAAGGCGUCGACGGGUAGCCGGCCUGAGAGGGUGGACGGCCACAUUGGGACUGAGAUACGGCCCAGACUCCUACGGGAGGCAGCAGUGGGGAAUAUUGCACAAUGGGCGCAAGCCUGAUGCAGCGACGCCGCGUGGGGGAUGACGGCCUUCGGGUUGUAAACUCCUUUCAGCCAUGACGAAGCCCUUGUGGUGACGGUAGUGGUAGAAGAAGCACCGGCUAACUACGUG
rnacentral:rRNA from 1 species